GAGCUAGGAAGAAUGCACAUUUGCUUCUGACACCUCUUAUGCUAGCGGACAUUUCCGGUUCGCAAUGAUUCCAGUAAUGACAUCUGAGCUC
rnacentral:snoRNA from 1 species